rnacentral:misc_RNA from 1 species
GAUGAAGAACGCAGCAAAAUGCGAUAAGUAAUGUGAAUUGCAGAAUUCAGUGAAUCAUCGAAUCUUUGAACGCACAUUGCGCCCGCUGGUAUUCCGGCGGGCAUGCCUGUUCGAGCGUCAUUUCAACCCUCAAGCCCCCGGGUUUGGUGUUGGGGAUCGGCUCUGCCUUCUGGCGGUGCCGCCCCCGAAAUACAUUGGCGGUCUCGCUGCAGCCUCCAUUGCGUAGUAGCUAACACCUCGCAACUGGAACGCGGCGCGGCCAUGCCGCAAAACCCCAACUUCUGAAUGUUGACCUCGGAUCAGGUAGGAAUACCCGCUGAACUUAAGCAUAUCAAUAAGCGGAGGA